rnacentral:rRNA from 1 species
CUUUAAUGUUUGAUGUUCUAACGUUGACCCGUGAUCCGGGUUGCGGACAGUGUCUGGUGGGUAGUUUGACUGGGGCGGUCUCCUCCUAAAGAGUAACGGAGGAGCACGAAGGUUGGCUAAUCCUGGUCGGACAUCAGGAGGUUAGUGCAAUGGCAUAAGCCAGCUUGACUGCGAGCGUGACGGCGCGAGCAGGUGCGAAAGCAGGUCAUAGUGAUCCGGUGGUUCUGAAUGGAAGGGCCAUCGCUCAACGGAUAAAAGGUACUCCGGGGAUAACAGGCUGAUACCGCCCAAGAGUUCAUAUCGACGGCGGUGUUUGGCACCUCGAUGUCGGCUCAUCACAUCCUGGGGCUGAAGUAGGUCCCAAGGGUAUGGCUGUUCGCCAUUUAAAGUGGUACGCGAGCUGGGUUUAGAACGUCGUGAGACAGUUCGGUCCCUAUCUGCCGUGGGCGCUGGAGAACUGAGGGGGGCUGCUCCUAGUACGAGAGGACCGGAGUGGACGCAUCACUGGUGUUCGGGUUGUCAUGCCAAUGGCACUGCCCGGUAGCUAAAUGCGGAAGAGAUAAGUGCUGAAAGCAUCUAAGCACGAAACUUGCCCCGAGAUGAGUUCUCCCUGACUCCUUGAGAGUCCUGAAGGAACGUUGAAGACGACGACGUUGAUAGGCCGGGUGUGUAAGCGCAGCGAUGCGUUGAGCUAACCGGUACUAAUGAACCGUGAGGCUUAACCUU